rnacentral:rRNA from 1 species
AUUGAACGCUGGCGGCAGGCUUAACACAUGCAAGUCGAGCGAGCGGCGGACGGGAGCGUGAUGUCUGGGAAACUGUCUGAUGGAGGGUGAAAACUACUGACAACGGUAGCUAAUAGCGCAUAAUAUCAUAUGUGCCCAGAUGGGAUUAGCUAGUAGGUGGGGUAAUGGCUCACCUAGGCGACGAUCCCUAGCUGGUCUGAGAGGACGACCGGCCACACUGGAACUGAGACACGGUCCAGACUCCUACGGGAGGCAGCAGUGGGGAAUAUUGCACAAUGGGCGCAAGCCUGAUGCAGCCAUGCCGCGUGUGUGAAGAAGGCCUUCGGGUUGUAAAGCACUUUCAGCGGGGAGGCGUUACCCGCAGAAGAAGCACCGGCUAACUCCGUGCCAGCAGCCGCGGUAAUAC